UAGCCUAGUGGUUAAGGCAAUGGAUCGCCAAUCCGGAGACGGUGGGUUCGAUUCCCGU
rnacentral:tRNA from 1 species